GUGUAAGUCCGGGCAGGCAGCCGCGGUAAUACGGUGGUGGCAAGCGUUGUCCGGAAUUGGUGGGCGUAAAGCGUGCGCAGGCGGCUUCUUAAGUCCAUCUUAAAAGUGCGGGGCUUAACCCCGUGAUGGGAUGGAAACUGAGAGGCUGGAGUAUCGGAGAGGGUGGUAGAAUUCCACGUGUAGCGGUGAAAUGCGUAGAGAUGUGGAGGAAUACCAGUGGCGAAGGCGGCCACCUGGACAGUGACUGACGCUGAGGCGCGAAAGUGUGGGUAGCAAACAGGAUUAGAUACCCCAGUAGUC
rnacentral:rRNA from 1 species